UACAGAGGGGGCAAGCGUUAUUCGGAAUUAUUGGGCGUAAAGGGCGCGUAGGCGGUCGUGCAAGUGGAAGGUGAAAUCCCUCGGCUCAACCGAGGAACUGCCUUUCAAACUGCAUGACUUGAGUCCGGGAGAGGUGAGUGGAAUUCCCAGUGUAGCGGUGAAAUGCGUAGAUAUUGGGAGGAACACCAGUGGCGAAGGCGGCUCACUGGACCGGAACUGACGCUGAGGAGCGAAAGCUAGGGGAGCAAACGGG
rnacentral:rRNA from 1 species